rnacentral:rRNA from 1 species
UACGUAGGUGACAAGCGUUGUCCGGAUUCAUUGGGCGUAAAGGGUGCGUAGGUGGCGCCGUAAGUGGGGUGUGAAAUCUCGGGGCUUAACUCCGAAACUGCAUUCCAUACUGCGGUGCUCGAGGACUGGAGAGGAGACUGGAAUUUACGGUGUAGCAGUGAAAUGCGUAGAGAUCGUAAGGAAGACCAGUGGCGAAGGCGGGUCUCUGGACAGUUCCUGACACUGAGGCACGAAGGCCAGGGGAGCAAACGGG